rnacentral:rRNA from 1 species
AUGCCGCCGCGUCCCCGGGGCAGGCGCGCGUCUCCUCCGGUGCUGAUCCUGGAGGACGAGGACCUCGAUUUCGAGGUCAGCUACAGCGAAGGGGAGGACGGGGAUGAUGGGGGAGGAUCGGAUUCCUCGUCGUCGUCGUCGGGGGAGGAGCCGGAGGAGGGAACGGAUGUAGAGGACGGCGAAAGAUCGGAUGAGGGGGAGGAGGAGGGGCAGGACGAUAGCGUCGCGGAGGGAUGCGGGCCGGCCGUGCAAUCUAGGGUUCCCGGCGGCGCGACGGCGGAGAGGGCGGCCAACGCCCCCACUUGCCCCGUGUGUAUGGAGCCCUGGACCUCCGAAGGCGAGCACCGCAUCAGUUGCAUUCCUUGUGGGCAUGUCUACGGCAGAUCUUGCCUGGAGAGAUGGUUAACACAGCGUGGUAAUGCCAGUGCGACGUGCCCUCAAUGUGGAAGAAGGUUCAAACAUAAGGACAUUAUCAACAUCUAUGCACCGGAGGUUGCAGUUCCAAAUAAUGAUCUUGAGAAGCAAUUAUGGUUUUGCAGGCAAAAGCUCGAAUCCCUUGAGGAAGUGGUCCUGAAACAAGGGAAGUUGCUUGACGAGAUAAUUGCUGAGAAGAAUCACAGGUCAGCAGAUGUUGGUGUCUCAAAAAGACAGAAAAUAGCAGAGCACUCAGAUGGAAGAACAUAUCUGGAACCGUCAGCCUCAGCCAGUGCAGCCUCAGCUUCUGGCAACAGUUGCCGUUUUGUUUUACUGAAGGAAUUAUCUUUUGAUGGUGCUCGAGUCAUGGGCAUAGAUGCAUCUAACCAAAUAAUACUUGCUUCUGGGAAGGCACCUGGUGUGGCUGGAGAACAUGUUCUUAGAAAGAUUAGCAUGCUAUCCAGCCAUGAAGCACGUACAAUACAGCUUCCUCCUGAUACUAAAGUUGUCAAGGACAUAUGUAUCUUGCCUGGUGGCUCUGCUCUUUUUGCAUCACUAGGCAAAAGGCUCUCACUCUUUAGCAUGACGAUCAACAGUGUUGUUCUUCAAUGUAAUUUACCGGUUCCUGCUUGGUCAUGUUCAGCACAUGACUGUGAUUCGCAUCGCGUUUAUGCUGGCUUGCAGGAUGGCAGGGUUUUGGUAUUUGAUACUCGUCAGCCUUCAAGACCCUUGCAUUCCAUGGCGGGGCUAUCUAAACAUCUGGUCCAUACACUCCACUCUGUAACUGAUAACAGCGGUUCCAAAAAGGUUCUUUCAGCUUCUGCUAUAGGGCCUUGCAUGUGGGAUGCUGAUGGCAAUCAAAGCAGUCCGAAACUACUACUAGAGGAUGAUAACCAACGUGUCUGCUUCUCUCUUGCGUGUGCCCCUCCAUCGAGCGAUCUGUUGGUGGCCUCCUACCGGCCCAAAGCCGAUUACUCAUCAGGAGACACCGCUGCUCCAUCUCAAGCGUACCUAUCACAGAUGCCGACACAAUCUGGUGCAGGAAAACUGGGGCAGCACACCGUCAUCAGGAGGACAGGCAAUGCAUCCUUCGCCGAGGGCAGCACAUGCCACUCCAACGUAAGCGAAGUGCGCAUGUGCAAAUCAGCAACCGUACCUUGCGGGAACGACGAACAUCUCUUCGCCUACGGGGACGAGUCACACCGUGGGGUCCUGACCUGGCGACUGCCUUCCCUUGGGGUCCAUUCUGGCCUGAUACCCCACCGCCAGCCAAUCCUCGACCUAAGGUAUGCGGGAAGUCAAGCGGGAGGUGGGUACCUUGGGUGCCUGAGCGAUGAUAAGUUGCAAGUUUACAGAGUUGAUAGAUAG